rnacentral:rRNA from 1 species
GAUGAACGCUAGCGGCAGGCCUAACACAUGCAAGUCGAGGGGUAGAGGAAGCUUGCUUCCUUGAGACCGGCGCACGGGUGCGUAACGCGUAUGCAACCUACCUUUUACAGGGGAAUAGCCCCAGAGAAAUUUGGAUUAAUGCCCCCAUGGUAUAAUCGGAUGGCAUCAUUUGAUUAUUAAAGUUCCAACGGUAAAGAUGGGCAUGCGUCCUAUUAGCUAGAUGGUAAGGUAACGGCUUACCAAGACAAUGAUGGGUAGGGUCCUGAGAGGGAGAUCCCCCACACUGGUACUGAGACACGGACCAGACUCCUACGGGAGGCAGCAGUGAGGAAUAUUGGUCAAUGGGCGCAAGCCUGAACCAGCCAUGCCGCGUGCAGGAAGACGGUCCUAUGGAUUGUAAACUGCUUUUAUACAGGAAGAACCCUCCCACGUGUGGGAGCUUGACGGUACUGUAGGAAUAAGGAUCGGCUAACUCCGUGCCAGCAGCCGCGGU